GCAUUAUAUACCAGAGAGGAGUGGCUGGUGCAUCCAGUAGCAUCAUUGCAAUCCUCACAAGGCACCGGACUGUUUUUCAUAGCACUGCACCAGUUUUCAUUCCCAUCAGCACCGUGUGAUCGUUUCAAUGUCUCCACACCCUGGCCAACACGUUAGCACCGGUCUGCUUGAAUCUGACCUUCCUAGCACAUGCUGCAGAUCAAACUCAGCCUCAGAGUGUGCUAGGCAAAUGCCUUAACAAAUGCCCAGGGCCCUGAACUCCUCAACUAUGAUCUUCUGAUAAGGAUGUUCCACAUUCCACACUACAGAGGACAACAGCCCCUUCCAGCAGCUGCUUCGCCUCUUCUUGCUUAUCCCGCCUUUUGGGAUGUUACCCAGAGCACCGUGUUCUUUUUCAGAAGUUACAACAACCACCGAUCUCCUUUAAAAUUUUCCCCUAAGAGCUUCCAAGACCAACAGUCCACUGUGGCACAUGUGAUGUAAGUUCACCACCGCUGCUCUACAUAUUACUCAAUGGCUACUUGGAUGAAAAAAAUGUAUCUGCAGUAAAAGUUCUCUGUCCUCUCUCA